rnacentral:misc_RNA from 1 species
GAAAUGCGAUAAGUAAUGUGAAUUGCAGAAUUCCGUGAAUCAUCGAAUCUUUGAACGCACAUUGCGCCCUCUGGUAUUCCGGGGGGCAUGCCUGUCCGAGCGUCAUUGCGAACCCCUCAAGCACGGCUUGUGUGAUGGGCCCUCCCGCGUCUUGGUCGUCAAGACGGGCCCGAAAUGCAGUGGCGGCUUCGCGGUUAUCCGAUCAGCCAGAGCGUAUGGGGACUUUCUCUCUGUCACACGCCCGCGGCGCGGACCGACGCCUGUCGACCUUCAUUCAUCGUUUUCUCGGUUGACCUCUGAUCAGGUAGGGAUACCCGCUGAACUUAAGC